rnacentral:rRNA from 1 species
CCUACGGGAGGCAGCAGUGAGGAAUAUUGGUCAAUGGGCGCGAGCCUGAACCAGCCAAGUAGCGUGAAGGAUGACUGCCCUACGGAUUGUAAACUUCUUUUAUAAAGGAAUAAAGUGAGGCACGUGUGCCUUUUUGUAUGUACUUUAUGAAUAAGGAUCGGCUAACUACGUGCCAUCAGCCGCGGUAAUACGGAGGAUCCGAGCGUUAUCCGGAUUUAUUGGGUUUAACGGGAGCGUAGAUGGGUUGUUAAGUCAGUUGUGAAAGUUUGCGGCUCAACCGUAAAAUUGCAAUUGAUACUGGCAGUCUUGAGUACAGUUGAGGUAGGCGGAAUUCGUGGUGUAGCGGUGAAAUGCUUAGAUAUCACGAAGAACUCCGAUUGCGAAGGCAGCUUACUAAACUGCCACUGACAUUGAUGCUCGAAAGUGUGGGUAUCAAACAGGAUUAGAUACCCUGGUAGUC